GGAGUUCUGUUCCAAGAAAAUCGGUCUCUGGAGUCAUUGAAGACAUCAUAGUGGAGACAAUUAUUUCCCCAGAAGGAAUAGCCAUUGACUGGAUAUAAAAUUUGUUGUACUGGACAGAUGCAGUACACGACCAUAUUCAGGUGUCACGACUGGAUGGUACAGACAGAAAAACCAUCAUUCAAAAUGAUGGUAGCCUUGACAAGCCAAGACCAAUUGUGGUUGAUCCCAAUACUGG
rnacentral:lncRNA from 1 species